GGAUGUAAGGGCAAUCUGGCCGCGACAUCUGUCACCCCGUUGAUCACCAGGGUUGAUUCGGCUGAUCUGGCUGGCUAGGCGGGUGUCCCCUUCCUCCCUCACAGCUCCCUCCCAAAGCUGCGUGCUGGGUCAAAGAGGACCACCUUCCCCGAAUAGGGAGGACAGGUCUUCGGUCAAGGGUACAAGUAGCCGCGCUCCCUGGCUAGAACCUCCAGCCAAGCUCUUAGGACUCACUAAGGCUCCCAAACAGCAGGAAUUGAAAUCAGUAGAAACUCC
rnacentral:snRNA from 1 species